rnacentral:rRNA from 1 species
GACGAAGGGGGCUAGCGUUGCUCGGAAUCACUGGGCGUAAAGGGUGCGUAGGCGGGUCUUUAAGUCAGGGGUGAAAUCCCGAGGCUCAACCUCGGAACUGCCUUUGAUACUGGGGAUCUCGAGUUCGGGAGAGGUGAGUGGAAUUGCGAGUGUAGAGGUGAAAUUCGUAGAUAUUCGCAAGAACACCAGUGGCGAAGGCGGCUCACUGGCCCGAUACUGACGCUGAGGUGCGAAAGCGUGGGGAGCAAACAGG